UUAAAAAAACAACUGUCGAAGUCAGACGAGUGUUGGUCGAGUCUACUGUCAACUACUGUGUUUGCGAUUGAGUGUUUUAGACAAGAAAUAUGCCCAGAUGCCCAGGAUAUUGAUUGCAGGGUACACCAAAUUUGGUCAACUUUCAUCAUGAGAUGCUAUAGUUCAGCUAUAGAGAGGACACAGAGAGUAAUUACAAAAAAAAAACGAAUUACUAAACUGCCAGUAGAUGUCCGACAGGAGCUUACGGACAGAAAGCGGCAGGCGCAAUUAGAUUUAGCAAUAAGGCCGCCUUUUGUCUCUAGUGUCUCGAUUUAUUUGUUUGGUACGUCAUUUUGUGCAAUCAAGUAUAUUGUAUUGCAAGACUGUAAUUUUAAAUUCUAAUAAAAAAUAUAUAUUUUUAAGGUCCGAAUGUUAAGUGCUUGGUAAAAAAUGUAAAUAAAACAAGCAUUCAAUUAUAAAUUGGUUUUAGUUCAUAUUAAUAAACCUUAAUUUUUCUACUGGUUUUCUU